rnacentral:rRNA from 1 species
AAUACAUGCAAGUCGAACGAGUUCUGAUUAUUGAAAGGUGCUUGCAUCUUGAUUUAAUUUUGAACGAGUGGCGGACGGGUGAGUAACACGUGGGUAACCUGCCCUUAAGUGGGGGAUAACAUUUGGAAACAGAUGCUAAUACCGCAUAAAUCCAAGAACCGCAUGGUUCUUGGCUGAAAGAUGGCGUAAGCUAUCGCUUUUGGAUGGACCCGCGGCGUAUUAGCUAGUUGGUGAGGUAACGGCUCACCAAGGCAAUGAUACGUAGCCGAACUGAGAGGUUGAUCGGCCACAUUGGGACUGAGACACGGCCCAAACUCCUACGGGAGGCAGCAGUAGGGAAUCUUCCACAAUGGACGCAAGUCUGAUGGAGCAACGCCGCGUGAGUGAAGAAGGCUUUCGGGUCGUAAAACUCUGUUGUUGGAGAAGAAUGGUCGGCAGAGUAACUGUUGUCGGCGUGACGGUAUCCAACCAGAAAGCCACGGCUAACUACGUGCCAGCAGCCGCGGUAAUACGUAGGUGGCAAGCGUUAUCCGGAUUUAUUGGGCGUAAAGCGAGCGCAGGCGGUUUUUUAAGUCUGAUGUGAAAGCCCUCGGCUUAACCGAGGAAGUGCAUCGGAAACUGGGAAACUUGAGUGCAGAAGAGGACAGUGGAACUCCAUGUGUAGCGGUGAAAUGCGUAGAUAUAUGGAAGAACACCAGUGGCGAAGGCGGCUGUCUGGUCUGUAACUGACGCUGAGGCUCGAAAGCAUGGGUAGCGAACAGGAUUAGAUACCCUGGUAGUCCAUGCCGUAAACGAUGAAUGCUAGGUGUUGGAGGGUUUCCGCCCUUCAGUGCCGCAGCUAACGCAUUAAGCAUUCCGCCUGGGGAGUACGACCGCAAGGUUGAAACUCAAAGGAAUUGACGGGGGCCCGCACAAGCGGUGGAGCAUGUGGUUUAAUUCGAAGCAACGCGAAGAACCUUACCAGGUCUUGACAUCUUUUGAUCACCUGAGAGAUCAGGUUUCCCCUUCGGGGGCAAAAUGACAGGUGGUGCAUGGUUGUCGUCAGCUCGUGUCGUGAGAUGUUGGGUUAAGUCCCGCAACGAGCGCAACCCUUAUGACUAGUUGCCAGCAUUUAGUUGGGCACUCUAGUAAGACUGCCGGUGACAAACCGGAGGAAGGUGGGGAUGACGUCAAAUCAUCAUGCCCCUUAUGACCUGGGCUACACACGUGCUACAAUGGAUGGUACAACGAGUUGCGAGACCGCGAGGUCAAGCUAAUCUCUUAAAGCCAUUCUCAGUUCGGACUGUAGGCUGCAACUCGCCUACACGAAGUCGGAAUCGCUAGUAAUCGCGGAUCAGCACGCCGCGGUGAAUACGUUCCCGGGCCUUGUACACACCGCCCGUCACACCAUGAGAGUUUGUAACACCCGAAGCCGGUGGCGUAACCCUUUUAGGGAGCGAGCCGUCU